CCUACGGGGGGCAGCAGUGAGGAAUAUUGGGCAAUGCCCGCAAGGGUGCCCCAGCAACGCCGCGUGGAGGAUGAAGGCCGUAAGGUUGUAAACUCCUGUUAGAGGAGAAGAAUAGUACCGAUUGGAUCGGUAUUUGCCUGUACCCUCAGAGAAAGCCCCGGCUAACUACGUGCCAGCAGCCGCGGUAAUACGUAGGGGGCAAGCUUUAUCCGGAUUUACUGGGUCGCAGGGGCGAGCAGGCGUCAUAGGUGAAAUCCUACAGCUUAACUGUAGAACUGCCUUUGAUACUGUUAGUCUUGAGUUCGGGAGAGAGAGACGGAAUUCCAGGUGUAGUGGUGAAAUACGUAGAUAUCUGGAAGAACACCAGUUGCGAAGGCGGUCUCUUGGUCCGAUACUGACGCUGAGGCGCGAAAGCGUGGGGAGCAAACAGGAUUAGAUACCCUGGUAGUC
rnacentral:rRNA from 1 species